GAGGCCGCCGCCUGGCAGGAGCUGCUUGACUGCAUUGCCCUCCACGAGCCGGUUGUGGAUUCUGGCACGGAUGAGGUUCGGUGGCAUCUCGAGCCUUCGGGCCAAUUCUCCACCAAGUCCCUCUAUCUGACCAUCGCUCCCUCGUCCGCUCCGCUCCCCCUUUCGGCGGUGUGGUCCAUCCGCUUGCCACUGAAAAUCCGGAUAUUCAUGUGGCAAUGGAUCCGUGGACGACUGCCGUCUGGGGUGGAGGUUCGCAAGCGCAAUGGUCCUGGAUCUGGCCUCUGCCCGCUUUGUGGUACCCCCGAAGAUUCCAAACACAUCUUCUUCUCCUGUGUGUCCGCCCAAUUCGUGUGGAGCUGCUUUAGAGAGGUGGUGGGAGGUGGUUGGUGCCACACCAACUUCCCCGACCUCUUCGCCGAACUCCAGGACUCCCCCCUGCCCUCUCGCCACAUUAGGUGGCUCGAGAUUGGGGCACUCGCGUGGACCCUCUGGACAAUCCGCAAUAAGCUUGUGAUUCAACAUGUUCCUCUUUGGUGGGCUACUGACGCUCUAUUCAAAUUGUCUAGUUUCUUGCAGCUCUGGCGGCCGCUUAGCCGCCCCUCAGGAUCUGGACGCCAUCUCCACCUUCAUCGCCGACCUCCACUCGAUGGCCGUCCGCCUAUCACCGCCGCUUCCUCCGCCACCCCCAGAGCCUGA
rnacentral:rRNA from 1 species